GAUAGUAACACGCAGGCGCCUUUAAGCAAAGUUCAAGCAGCUCCUAAAUUAACCAAAGCGAAUCCCUGAAGAUGCAGUAUUUAUGCACUGAAGCAAGAAGGGAGGGCUCUCAUCUCACCAGUCUCAUCAGCCAUCACAGCCCAGGAAGCAAGAGAGAGAAAACAAGAGUUAUUUACCUUUUUCUAAUUGGGAGCUGGGCAGCCCAGUUCAAAGCAGGAGAGCAGCAGCAUUUGUCAGGAGCACUGGGAGGGAAGCAGUAAUUGCCUGGAAGCAGCCACAGAUGCAGGGCUCACUCCAGCUGCUGCUGCAUCGCUAAGAGGUAUUUCAUUCAUCACUGUAUCAUAUAGAAAGCCUGAGCUGAAUAAAACCUUCUGAAAGAAGAUGAGGAGGCACACUCUGCCUUAUAGAUUAUUUUACAGUUACUGUAGCCAUUCUUUUUCUCUGCCUGCUUUACACAAACAUGGAAAAUAAACCAUAUACCAGGAGGCGUGACUUCUC